rnacentral:sRNA from 1 species
AAUGAGGAAAGCACGUGUGCUAGCCGCGUCACGAGGCCGUAGCU